GCCGGCCUGGAAAAUCUCCUGGCUAAUGUCCCACCAGCUAAACUGGCAGCCUUCAAUCUGUCUGGGUGCUGCAUGGCUCUGCUCUUUGACCGGAUUCAGAACAAAGCUCGCUUUCUCCACCACUCAACCGCUGACUUGCAAAAGAGCUCAGCGCAGGCGGCCCUGGACAGACCGGUGGAGACUGCCCUGCUGUUGAGCUUGGCCGGCGUUGGCUGUGUCGUCCUCAACCAGUGGCACGGCAGCCUUCAGCAGAACA